rnacentral:rRNA from 1 species
AGCACUUGGAGGAUGUAUAGAGAAAGCAGGUAAAAAGUGAUGUAUCUACUUAUAUUAUUUAUUAAUAUAAGAUUAACUGAGUUAAUUAAAAUUCAAUGUAGAUAUUUGAUUAUGACAGUAUUUGCUUAUGUCUUGACCAAAGCACGUGCCAGCAGUCGCGGUAAGACGUGAAAGACAAGUGUUAUUCAUGUUUAACAGGUUUAAAGGGUACCUAGACGGUUAAUAAAACACUCAUAUGUAUUAAUUAACUAGAGUUUGAUGUGAGAAGGAUUGAGUACGGUGUGUCUAGAGAUAAAAUUUUACGAGACCAUUAUGGAACUGGUAAAGGCGAAGGCAA